rnacentral:rRNA from 1 species
UACGGAGGAUGCGAGCGUUAUCCGGAUUUAUUGGGUUUAAAGGGUGCGUAGGCGGGCUUUUAAGUCAGCGGUAAAAAUUCGGGGCUCAACCCCGUCCGGCCGUUGAAACUGGGGGCCUUGAGUGGGCGAGAAGAAGGCGGAAUGCGUGGUGUAGCGGUGAAAUGCAUAGAUAUCACGCAGAACCCCGAUUGCGAAGGCAGCCUUCCGGCGCCCUACUGACGCUGAGGCACGAAAGUGCGGGGAUCGGACAGG